CGAAAACUGAGUGAUCAACAGCCGACAGCUAGGUCUCAGGGUCUUGCACUCAGUGGAAGCUGUAUGGCAUGGUCAACUUCUGAGGCGUGUUUGAAAACCAAAGCAUUUACUUCCAGGUUUACGGCGUUUGUAAACCGAGGUAGCACUGUAAUUGGCCAGGUUUAGAGUUCAAUCUUUGGUACAGCAAACUUAACUGAUUCACAUGGGGGUAGAUCCAGUAGUGUCAGUUUGUUUGCUUGUUAAAUUUGUUUUUAAUUUAAAAAAUAAUACCAUGUCAAUUAUAAAAGAAGUUACCUAAUAUGAAAAUAUGUAAAAUAAAUAGUGCAAGUCUCUCUUCCUCCUCACUCCUUAAUUCUAUUCUUCCCCCAAAGAUACCAAUAUUGACUAUUUGAUGUUUAGUUUUUGUAGACAAAGGCCUAAACAAAAGAAUACUAUAUGUACGUACAAACCUAUAUCCAGAGGUUGUUUUUAAGAUACAAAUGAAAGUAUGCCAAACUGUUUUUGUGACUUGUUUGUUUACACUUAAUGUAUCAUUUAUUUUUUUCACAUGAUGGAUGGAUCAUUUUCUACUUUACUGCUCUCUGAUCGUGGACAAUUGGCUAUUAACAGCAUUUCGCUAUUAUAAACAGUAUUGAAAUAAACAUCCUAGUUUGGGUGUGGUUAAGAGCUCAGAUAUUGGAGUCAGAACACCUGAGUUUGAAUCCUUAUGCCACCUCUGUGACCUUAAACAAGUCCCUUAACCUCUCUGUGCCUUGGUUUCCUUAUCUACAAAAUGAGAAUGAUAAUAGACCUAGUAUUAUAGGAUUGUUAUGAGCAUUAAAUGAAUUGAUGUAUAUAAAGCUCUUAGAACCAUGUUUGGCACAUAGCUGAUAUUUACCGAGCACUAUCAUUUUGUUAUUGCAUCUUUCUUUGUGUGUGUAUAAUUAUAUAAUAGUAUAAUAUUGUUGCACAUUUGUGUGAUUACUUCUAUAAGAUUUCUAAAAGUAGAUUUACUAAAAGCAUAAACAUACUAUCAAAUCAUUCUUCAAAAAGGCUGUAUCAGUUUCUGCUACCACCAAUAGUAUAUUUCCUAAACCAUUGCUAACAGAAAUCUUAUUUUUUCUUUUUGGUCAGUCUUUUUUGGUGAAAUUACAUUUUACUAUUUUAAUUUGCUCUUUCCUUUACUAGCAGUGAGGCUGUUGAAUUGUUAAUUAUUGCUAUUUUUCAUUUAAGUUUCCUUCAAAUUACUUACUAAUAUCCUUUUGCCCAGUAGUUCUUUAUAUAUUACGGGUAUUACAUUAAUAUCAUUGUCUUCUAACUAAUUCACUGUACAGUUAAUGAUUAACUCUCUUUUUGUGACACAAGGCUGAUAUUUUGUCCCUGCCAUCUUUUAACAGUAUAAUAUCUUUUGCCCUAUAGAAAUUUUAAAUAUUUAUGUUGUAAAAUUUACCAUUUUUUGGUGUCUACUAAGCUUUCUUCACCCCUAAAAUUAUUAAAUGUUCUCUUUAUAUUUUCUUCUAGUAUGUUUUACAUAUGUUUUGUUCUUCUGUUCAGAUGAAAUCUACUUCUAUAGAAUGAGGUAUAGGAAUCUGACGAUUCUCUUCUCCCACAAAUGAGAAUGCUGGCCCUUCACCACUUAUUGAAUGUUUUGUGAUUUUCACACUAAGACUGCCACCUUUGUUAUAUACUAAAUUACCAUAUGUUCAUAAUUUAGUUUUGAACUUGCUAGUGUAUUCUGUUUCAUUUAACUGUUUUUUAUUGUGCCAAUAAAUAUCAUAAGUAUCA